rnacentral:rRNA from 1 species
GUCCACGCCGUAAACUAUGGGUGCUAGCCGUCAGGAAGCUUGCUUUUGGUGGCGCAGCUAACGCAUUAAGCGCCCCGCCUGGGGAGUACGGUCGCAAGAUUAAAACUCAAAGGAAUUGACGGGGCCCGCACAAGCGGUGGAGCAUGUGGUUUAAUUCGAAGCAACGCGCAGAACCUUACCUACCCUUGACAUGUCCAGUAUGGGCUCCGGAGACGGGGUUCUUCAGUUCGGCUGGCUGGAACACAGGUGCUGCAUGGCUGUCGU